rnacentral:rRNA from 1 species
AUGCCGCCGGAGCGCUGCCGCGCUUGCCUCGACGGAGUCGGCGCUGAGAUACGGCGGCGGAUCGGUAGCAGCAAGAUGGGCGGGGCGAUUCAUGGUGCGCGGUGCACACUCCGGUACGAGACCGGCAACCAAUUCUUUACGGAGACCGCCACAGGGCAACGGAAGGGCCAUGCACUCCUGAUUAUUGCCACAGUGUACUCGCUCUCGGUCGUCUGUACACGUUUGCUUUUCUGUGUCCUAUACAUCACAAGACGAAGAAAAAGAGGGAAGAUAAAUUCCACGGAGCAGCCCAAGGACAUAGAUGAAAUCCUGAGGCUUUGGAAGAUGGAAGAUACCGGCUCUGAGUUCUCCCUGUAUGAUUUCUCGCAAAUUGCAGAUGCUACAGACAACUUCUCACCCCGCAAAAUAUUAGGACAGGGUGCCUUUGGGCCCGUUUACAAAGGAAUUUUUCCUGACGGACAAGAAGUAGCAAUUAAAAAACUUGCUGCACGGUCAAGACAAGGUCUAGUGGAAUUCAAAAAUGAGAUCCAACUGGUAGCAAAACUUCAGCACAGACACCUUGUUAGGCUGCUGGGUUGUUGCAUCCAUGAUGAAGAGAAGAUACUGAUCUAUGAAUACAUGUCAAACAAAAGCUUGGACUACUUCAUUUUCGAUCCAAACAGGAGGACAUCAUUAAACUGGAUGAUACGACUUAAAAUAGUAGAAGGAAUAGCCCAAGGGCUUCUAUACCUUCACGAGCAUUCACGGCUGCGUAUCAUCCAUAGGGAUCUGAAAGCAAGCAAUAUUUUGUUAGACUCCGAGUUAAAUCCUAAGAUUUCUGAUUUUGGCAUGGCAAGGAUAUUUCCCUCAGAUGCCACUCAAACAAAAACAAGCAGGCUUGUUGGAACAUAUGGUUACAUGGCUCCUGAGUACGCAUUUGAGGGCCUCCUUUCGAUCAAGUCAGAUGUUUUCAGUUUUGGGGUAUUGCUUCUUGAGAUUAUAAGUGGAAAGAGGAGUGCAGGAUUUCAGCAUUAUGGAGAAAGAGAAUUUCACAAUCUUCUUCAAUAUGCAUGGCAGAUGUCGGAAGAAGAAACAUGGCAUGAAUUCAUUGAUCAAUCAAUUGGUGAUGAAUAUGAACCAGGAGACAUGAUGAAAUAUCUCAGGUUGGCACUAAUGUGUGUCCAAGUAAAAGCAGUAGACCGUCCCACUAUGUCUGAUAUUGUUGCAAUGCUUAGCAGUGACGACAUCACCAUACCAGAGCCAAGGCAACCAGCUUACUCCUAUACCAGAGUAGAUGUGUCAGUAAAUAUCAAUUUAUCAUGCACCAGAAAUGAUAUAACCCUCACCACUACUGAUGGUAGAUAA